rnacentral:rRNA from 1 species
GCCUAACACAUGCAAGUCGAACGGGAAGCGGUGCAUAUUGCUUCGGUGAUAAUGUGCCGUGGAGAGUGGCGAACGGGUGCGUAACACGUAGGUAACCUGCCCUGAGAGGGGGGAUAACCACGGGAAACUGUGGCUAAUACCGUAUAAUCUCGCCGUGGCGGUGGUUACGGUGAGGAAAGCUGAGGCGAUUUGGGAGGGGCCUGCGGUCGAUUAGCUGGUUGGUGGGGUAAAGGCCCACCAAGGCGAUGAUCGAUAGCUGUUCUGAGAGGAAGACCAGCCACACGGGAACUGAGACACGGUUCCGACUCCUACGGGGGGCAGCAGUGAGGAAUAUUGCGCAAUGGGGGGAACCCUGACGCAGCAACGCCGCGUGGAGGACGAAGGUUUUCGGAUUGUAAACUCCUUAACUGGGGGAAGAGAGAGGACGGUACCCCAGGACGAAGACACGGCUAACUAGGUGCCAGCAGCCGCGGUAAUACCUAGGUGUCGAGCGUUAUCCGGAAUUACUGGGCGUAAAGGGUGCGCAGGCGGUGUUACAAGUCCGGCGUGAAAGCUUCUGGCUUAACUGGGAGAGGACGUCGGAAACUGUAGUGCUAGAGUGAAUGAGAGGGGGGCGGAAAUCCCGGUGUAGUGGUGGAAUGC